UCUAAUGGACCAUAACUCAUCUCUCUUAACCAAGGUUAAAACCCACGGGUUAAUAAAUAAGAAAAAGAAAGAAAAAAAAAAACAAACACACAAAUCUAGGUUUUCCACGCUCAAGACGUCUCAUCCUCUUCUCCUCUACCGUGCUCGAUCUUCUCCUCUGCUGUGCUCCUCUCAUUCAAGAUGUCUCAAUAACUGAGCUGUAGAGAAUUCUAGAGGCUAUAAUGCAAGACUAGAUGAAAUUACAACAAGCGCAAAGGCUUUGGAUAUGGGAUCUGGGUCUAUGGAGGAACCAAGUGUAAAAGUUGAUCAAAAGGGUCUAAAUAAGCCUGCAGAUCAGAUGUAACCCUCAUCAUAAGGAAGCUUUUUAGUUUUAUAUUAGCCUUAACUCUGAAUUGAUUUGUGAAGUUGGUAAUUUACUGUUCAAUAGCUUUUCUUGUAUUUCCAAGCACUCUACAAUUGCUAUUUG